GGGCUAAUAGUCUAGGGGUAUGAUACCCGCUUCGGGCCUGCGGGUGGUCCCCGGUUCAAAUCCGGGUUAGCCCC
rnacentral:tRNA from 1 species